UACGGGGGGGGGCAAGCGUUUGUUCGGAAUUACUGGGCGUAAAGGGCUCGUAGGUGGCCAACUAAGUCAUACGUGAAAUCCCUCGGCUUAACCGGGGAACUGCGUCUGAUACUGGAUGGCUUGAGGUUGGGAGAGGGAUGCGGAAUUCCAGGUGUAGCGGUGAAAUGCGUAGAUAUCAAGAGGAACACCUGCGGCGAAGGCGGGUUGCUGGGCUGACACUGACGCUGAGGCGCGAAAGCUAGGGGAGCGAACGGG
rnacentral:rRNA from 1 species